rnacentral:rRNA from 1 species
UACGUAGGGUGCGAGCGUUGUCCGGAAUUAUUGGGCGUAAAGAGCUUGUAGGCGGUUUGUCGCGUCUGCCGUGAAAAUUCGAGGCUCAACCUCGAACUUGCGGUGGGGUACGGGCAGACUAGAGUGUGGUAGGGGAGACUGGAAUUCCUGGUGUAGCGGUGAAAUGCGCAGAUAUCAGGAGGAACACCGAUGGCGAAGGGCAGGUCUCUGGGCCACUACUGACGCUGAGAAGCGAAAGCAUGGGGAGCGAACAGGG